UACGGAGGGUGCAAGCGUUGCUCGGAAUUACUGGGCGUAAAGGGCGCGUAGGCGGCUCUGUUAGUCAGGCGUGAAAGCCCUGGGCUCAACCUGGGGACUGCGCUUGAUACGGCGGGGCUUGAGGGCAGGAGAGGCUCGCGGAAUUCCCAGUGUAGAGGUGAAAUUCGUAGAUAUUGGGAAGAACACCGGUGGCGAAGGCGGCGAGCUGGCCUGUUACUGACGCUGAGGCGCGACAGCGUGGGGAGCAAACAGG
rnacentral:rRNA from 1 species